GAAAACAAGGCAUUGUUCCCAUUUUGCUUCAUCCACCAACACAGGUGCUGCUGUCAUAUGUCACAACAAUGGAGAAACUUAUUAAACUAUAUAGAGCAAUAAUACUAUAAUAUAAAGAUAUGAGGGUGAAAAAAUCUUAGUAUGUGUUUGCUGGCUGGAGGUAUGAAAUCCUAUCCUUCAUGUAGUUGAUCUGACAAUGCUCUGACACUCCCACAAAUCUCUUCCUUCUUGGCUUCUUCUUCCAAGAAUGCCCUUAUAAACUAUUGACGUUCCCCCUCUCCCCCUCUCCCCCUCUCCAAAGCUAUCAAAUAACAGUAGGACAGAGGCAUAACUCUAUCAGUGAGGUUGUUCCUCACCUGUUGAGUUGCUGAAGGAAAAAAGACAUGGAUUUUGUGGGAGCCAGGAUUACUCUGGUAUAAUUACAGAAAGUCUGGGCCAGUCGCUGGAUUACAUUGUGGAAUGUGUCGUGACUGAUGCAAAUAUCCACAGGCAAUUCUUCUGUCAAAGGCUGGCCUAGAUACAGGGAAAUUCCUAAGUAACUUGCUAAAGAGUCCCUGUUUUGUGAGCCUGUCAAAGGAGGCGACAGUGGUCUUUGCUGGGCUGGUGGUGCUACUGACCCUGGGCUGUGGCACUGUUGGCUGGAGAGAGUUUUAGUCUAGAAAAGGCCUGAGCUGCAGAAUCUGGGACAGGAUUCAACUCACAUCACUCGAAUUUCGGGUUGAAUGUGAUAAAUUAGAGCAUUGCCAUCCUCUGACUGGCAGCAAAUCAAAUGAGUUCUUUGGGCUUUUUUUCCUUCACCACAAAGAACAAGAACAGGAACAAAUGCUGGGAGAGGAGAGAAAGAAGUGACAUCAUCUGUGGAAAAGUUUUACUUUUUUUUCCUGCCUGAAGGACUGUUUUGAUUUCCAACUGCAUCUCAGGAGGGUGAAGCUGAGGGCUCACGAGCUUCUCCCUGACAGCUCCUGCUCCAGCUGUGCUGAAGAUGUGCACGCACCAAAAUGCACGUGUUCUUAUAGCCAAGGAGGGAGGACUAACUACGCCACCAAAUACUCUUUUAGAUGGAAAGAAAUCUUCAAGCCUGGGAAUUGCAAGAAAACUAGACAUUACCAGCAUCAAAUCAUCCACAGAGCACUCUAACUAAAAGGAGAACAUUACGGGUAAGUAGCAGGCACUGUAAUUGCCUAAACAAACAGAGUUUAGACGGAAAAACUAUAAUU